rnacentral:rRNA from 1 species
AUGAUGCCAGUGUGUUGCUUCGAAAGAAUUGCUAGAGAUCAAUUGAAACAUUCUCAGAUUAUUGGCUCGCUUAUGUAUUUCACCAGUGCUACAAGACCUGACAUCUCUUUUGCCGUUAGCAAACUAAGCCGGUUUGUCUCAAAACCAGGAGAUGUGCAUUGGAAAGCUCUAGAGAGAGUUUUGUGUUAUUUGAAAGGCACUACGAAUUAUGGAAUUCACUACACAGGGCACCCAAAGGUUCUUGAAGGGUAUAGUGACUCAAACUGGAUCUCAAAUGCUGAUGAGAUAAAGGCCACGAGCAGAUAUGUAUUCACUCAUGGAGGUGGUGCUGCUUCUUGA